rnacentral:rRNA from 3 species
CCCGAGAUGAGUUCUCCCUGAGACUUUAAGUCUCCUGAAGGAACGUUAAAGACGAUGACGUUGAUAGGCCGGGUGUGUAAGCGCAGCGAUGCGUUGAGCUAACCGGUACUAAUGAACCGUGAGGCUUAACCUUACAACGCCGAAG